CACGUAGGGGGCAAGCGUUGUCCGGAUUCAUUGGGCGUAAAGAGCUCGUAGGCGGUUCGAUAAGUCGGGUGUGAAACCUCCAGGCUCAACCUGGAGACGCCACCCGAUACUGUCGUGACUAGAGUCCAGUAGGGGAGCGUGGAAUUCCUGGUGUAGCGGUGAAAUGCGCAGAUAUCAGGAGGAACACCAAUGGCGAAGGCAGCUCGCUGGGACGGUACUGACGCUGAGACGCGAAAGCGUGGGGAGCAAACAGG
rnacentral:rRNA from 1 species